UGUAAAAUUUAAAACAAUCUAGUGAGUCAAUGAUUUGAUUCACCCCCUUAAAACCAGUGGGGAAUGUUAUACCCUGUCAAAAUUGACUCCAUUUUGUUGCCCUUCUAACCUCGCCAAGUUCCU